rnacentral:rRNA from 1 species
GAUGAACGCUGGCGGCGUGCCUAAUACAUGCAAGUCGAGCGAACAGACGAGGAGCUUGCUCCUCUGACGUUAGCGGCGGACGGGUGAGUAACUCGUGGAUAACCUACCUAUAAGACUGGGAUAACUUCGGGAAACCGGAGCUAAUACCGGAUAAUAUAUUGAACCGCAUGGUUCAAUAGUGAAAGACGGUUUUGCUGUCACUUAUAGAUGGAUCCGCGCCGCAUUAGCUAGUUGGUAAGGUAACGGCUUACCAAGGCAACGAUGCGUAGCCGACCUGAGAGGGUGAUCGGCCACACUGGAACUGAGACACGGUCCAGACUCCUACGGGAGGCAGCAGUAGGGAAUCUUCCGCAAUGGGCGAAAGCCUGACGGAGCAACGCCGCGUGAGUGAUGAAGGUCUUCGGAUCGUAAAACUCUGUUAUUAGGGAAGAACAAAUGUGUAAGUAACUAUGCACGUCUUGACGGUACCUAAUCAGAAAGCCACGGCUAACUCCUUGCCAGCCGCCGCGGUAA